rnacentral:rRNA from 1 species
GUGGGGAAUAUUGGACAAUGGGGGGAACCCUGAUCCAGCCAUGCCGCGUGUGUGAAGAAGGCCUUUUGGUUGUAAAGCACUUUAAGCGAGGAGGAGGCUACCGAGAUUAAUACUCUUGGAUAGUGGACGUUACUCGCAGAAUAAGCACCGGCUAACUCUGUGCCAGCAGCCGCGGUAAUACAGCGGGUGCAAGCGUUAAUCGGAUUUACUGGGUGUCAAGCGCGCGUAGGUGGCCAAUUAAGUCAAAUGUGAAAUCCCCGGGCUGAACGUGGGAAUUGCAUUCGAUACUGGUUGGCUAGAGUAUGGGAGAGGAUGGUAGAAUUCCAGGUGUAGCGGUGAAAUGCGUAGAGAUCUGGAGGAAUACCGAUGGCGAAGGCAGCCAUCUGGCCGAAUACGGACACUGAGGUGCGAAAGCAUGGGGAGCAAACAGGAUUAGAAACCCCGGUAGUCC